AUGUCUUGCCUUCGCCUUGUCAGUGCCCGGCAAGAUAUGGAUAGCUUCAUCAGAGAAAGACAUGUCGGUGAAGUAGCUUCGCCUCGUCGGAACUUGGAUGAUGUUAGGAAGUGUGUUGAUGUAGAAGUCGGAGUAGACAAUGAGUAUCGCUGCGUGGCGGCAUCACUUGAAGAUGACGAACUUGUCGAUGUAGACCUUGGGGCGUUGCAGCUGCGGGGACGACCUCUGCUCAGUGUAGAUAGUUGGUGUACAAGAAUGACAGCGUGCCAGUGCAUUCGGCAUGCUCGCCAGGCGAUGAGUCAAAAGAAGAUGGUGACGCCAUGUGGACAUCCGGUUGCCCCGAUGUAG
rnacentral:rRNA from 1 species